UUGGUUGCGAUGAUUAUAAAAAAUUCCUCGUACUGAAUUGCUAUAGCCAUGGCAUGACAGACACAUUUACACCCAUAGAAUAUGAGCAAAACC